rnacentral:lncRNA from 1 species
GCGCGAGCAGGCACGGGGGCAAAGGGCGGCGCGGGCGGUGACCGAAGCCGUCCCGCGCCUGUGUUCGUUGUCCCUCCAGGAGGGGGUCCGGGGCGUGGGGACUGAUUUCCGACCUCCCGGGCCCAACGAGCCGUGCUGAAACGUGGCGCCUCGGAGGAGGCUGAGAUUCCUGCAGGUAGACACCAAGGAUCUCCUCAGAGCCAGCGCUGAUCUCAUCCACAGAGGGAUCACAUGACCUCAUCUGGGAAAAUAUAAACCCUACCCACCUGCCUGCCCAUUUGGAAAUGCAGACUGGAGGACGCUAAGUUCAUUCUUACCUAUGUACUAACAAGUACACAAGAAGAUGCUCAAUAUCAUUAGUCCUUGGGGAAAUGCAAAUUAGAUUAUAAUGAGAUUCCAGUGUACACCCACUAGAAGGCUAUUAAAAAGGACAAUACCAACUGUUGGCAACAAUGUGGAGAAAUGGAACCCCUCCUACGUUUCUGAUGAGAAUGUAAAAUGGUGCAGAUACUUUGGAAAACAGUUUGGCAAUUUAUUAAAAGAUUAAAUAAGCAUAA